GUGCCAGGCCAGCUGAGCACACCUGUUCUCCCAGAACUGGACCAUGAUCCACCCACAACAGGGCCAUAUGCUGGCAAUGUUACCAUACUCAUUUGUCCAGUGGCAUCAGACUGACCUACACUAGUCCCUGCCUGAUAGCAGGUCCCAGCUUCAUUUAAAAGGACCAUCAAUUUGGAAGGGGUUUACUCAUGAGGACAGCCAGAGAAGAUCUAUAUAACAGUAAUGUUUUGAUAGGGACUUCAAAAACACUGGGGAAGAAUCCAUGCAGACAUUUGAGGAAAGAGAAGUCCAAGCAGACAAACAGCAACACACCUCACUUCACACCAGGAAUACAGUUAGUAACUAGACAUGGCUGCGUCAACCAUAUUGGACAAUGAAGCUCUGGAAUGAUUUCCCUCCAUGGAAUUCUUCUCAGUGCUGGAGAAACACCUGUGAAGUGACAAGUGACGAGGGCCUUUGUCCUCAGGGAGUUCAUAUGUUAAUAGAGUGAGACUGACAGUUUUCAAACAACAAAUGAAUGAAGGCAACAAACAAGAUAAUGACU